rnacentral:rRNA from 1 species
GACGGGUGAGUAACGCGUGGGUAACCUGCCCUGUACACACGGAUAACAUACCGAAAGGUAUACUAAUACGGGAUAACAUANGAAAGUCGCAUGGCUUUUGUAUCAAAGCUCCGGCGGUACAGGAUGGACCCGCGUCUGAUUAGCUAGUUGGUAAGGUAAUGGCUUACCAAGGCAACGAUCAGUAGCCGACCUGAGAGGGUGAUCGGCCACACUGGNAACUGAGACACGGUCCAGACUCCUACGGGAGGCAGCAGUGGGGAAUAUUGCACAAUGGGCGAAAGCCUGAUGCAGCAACGCCGCGUGAGCGAUGAAGGCCUUCGGGUCGUAAAGCUCUGUCCUCAAGGAAGAUAAUGACGGUACUUGAGGAGGAAGCCCCGGCUAACUACGUGCCAGCAGCCGCGGUAAUACGUAGGGGGCUAGCGUUAUCCGGAAUUACUGGGCGUAAAGGGUGCGUAGGUGGUUUUUUAAGUCAGAAGUGAAAGGCUACGGCUCAACCGUAGUAAGCUUUUGAAACUAGAGAACUUGAGUGCAGGAGAGGAGAGUAGAAUUCCUAGUGUAGCGGUGAAAUGCGUUANAUAUUAGGAGGGAAUACCAGUAGCGAAGGCGGCUCUCUGGGACUGUAACUGACACUGAGGCACGAAAGCGUGGGGGAGCAAAACAGGAUUCCUGGUAGUCCACGCCGUAAACGAUGAGUACUAGGUGUCGGGGGUUACCCCCCUCGGUGCCGCAGCUAACGCAUUAAGUACUCCGCCUGGGAAGUACGCUCGCAAGAGUGAAACUCAAAGGAAUUGACGGGGACCCGCACAAGUAGCGGAGCAUGUGGUUUAAUUCGAAGCAACGCGAAGAACCUUACCUAAGCUUGACAUCCCACUGACCUCUCCCUAAUCGGAGAUUUCCCUUCGGGGACAGUGGUGACAGGUGGUGCAUGGUUGUCGUCAGCUCGUGUCGUGAGAUGUUGGGUUAAGUCCCGCAACGAGCGCAACCCUUGCCUUUAGUUGCCAGCAUUAAGUUGGGCACUCUAGAGGGACUGCCGAGGAUAACUCGGAGGAAGGUGGGGAUGACGUCAAAUCAUCAUGCCCCUUAUGCUUAGGGCUACACACGUGCUACAAUGGGUGGUACAGAGGGUUGCCAAGCCGCGAGGUGGAGCUAAUCCCUUAAAGCCAUUCUCAGUUCGGAUUGUAGGCUGAAACUCGCCUACAUGAAGCUGGAGUUACUAGUAAUCGCAGAUCAGAAUGCUGCGGUGAAUGCGUUCCCGGGUCUUGUACACACCGCCCGUCACACCAUGGAAGUUGGGGGCGCCCGAAGCCGGUUAGCUAACCUUUUAGGAAGCGGCCGUCGAAGGUGAAACCAAUGACUGGGGUGAAGUCGUAAC